rnacentral:rRNA from 1 species
GACGGGGGGGGCAAGUGUUCUUCGGAAUGACUGGGCGUAAAGGGCACGUAGGCGGUGAAUCGGGUUGAAAGUGAAAGUCGCCAAAAAGUGGCGGAAUGCUCUCGAAACCAAUUCACUUGAGUGAGACAGAGGAGAGUGGAAUUUCGUGUGUAGGGGUGAAAUCGUAAAUAUACGAAGGAACGCCAAAAGCGAAGGCAGCUCUCUGGGUCCCUACCGACGGCUGGGGUGCGAAAGCAUGGG